rnacentral:rRNA from 1 species
UACGUAGGGGGCAAGCGUUGUCCGGAUUUAUUGGGCGUAAAGAGCGUGUAGGCGGCCAGACAGGUCCGUUGUGAAAACUCGAGGCUCAACCUCGAGACGCCGAUGGAAACCGUUUGGCUAGAGUCCGGAAGAGGAGAGUGGAAUUCCUGGUGUAGCGGUGAAAUGCGCAGAUAUCAGGAAGAACACCCGUGGCUAGGGCGGCUCUCUAGUACGGUACUGACGCUGAGACGCGAAAGCGUGGGGAGCGAACAGG